rnacentral:rRNA from 1 species
CACGCCGUAAACGAUGAGUGCUAGGUGUUGGGUGUCAAAGCUCAGUGCCGCAGCUAACGCAAUAAGCACUCCGCCUGGGGAGUACGAUGGCAACAUUGAAACUCAAAGGAAUUGACGGGGGCCCGCACAAGCGGCGGAGCAUGCGGAUUAAUUCGAUGCAACGCGAAGAACCUUACCAAGGCUUGACAUAUAGAGGAAACGGCCAGAGAUGGUCGCCCCGCAAGGUCUCUAUACAGGUGG